CCUGAUACAUGACGCAAAACAACCAAAGUCCUUCAACAGCGGACGAUGGAGAGCAGGCUACAACCCUGAUAUUGUGUUUGUCAGCCACAAGAUCGCUGGAUUAAGCAAAAAGCUAGUUUUGGAGCCACUGCCAAGGACACAACACCGUCCCAUCGGUAUCACAGUCAACGCUGCAAUAACCCCAGCCACAGUACCAUUCCGAAGAAGAUUCAAUUUUGGAAAAGCGAACUGGCCUGGCUUCCAAGAAGAUCUUGAAAGGAAGAUUGCCCAUCUCCCAGCAGACCCCAGGAAUUAUGACAAAUUCACCAAGCUUGUGCACGAAGCAGCCCGCAAGAACAUCCCAAGAGGCUGCCGCACUCAGUACCUCCCGGGCCUCGACGCCACAAGUACCGAGCUGUAUGAGCGAUACCAACAGCUCUAUGAAUCUGAUCCCUUUGCUGAAACUACCAUCAAAGUAGGUGAGAGUCUCAUGACCUCUAUUUCAGAAUCCCGCCAGCUGAGGUGGAAAAACCUUCUGGACACAACUGAUAUGGCAAAAAACAGCAAAAAAGCAUGGAGCCUCAUCCGAAAAAUCAGCAACGACCCAUCAACCCCAAAUCAGCAACAGUAUACGACCACUGCCAACCAAGUGCGCACCAGCUGCUGCUCAAUGGAAAAUCCACCACUAAACAGCCAAGACCAAAGGUAGAUCGAGUAAAACACUCCCAAACCAUGGGACUGACGAAGCCGUUCUCCCCUGAAGAGCUCAAUAUCAGCAUCAACACCCUUAAAACUGGUAAAGCCAUCGGACUGGAUAACAUUUUCAAUGAAGAGAUCAAGCAUUUUGGACCUCUGAUGAGGAAAUGGAUCCUUCAGCUGAUGAAUAAGUGCAUGCUGACAAAAAACAUCCCAAAGAUCUGGAGGAAAACCAGGAUUAUUGCCCUCCUCAAACCAGGCAAAGAUCCAGCGCAUGCAAAGAGCUUCCGCCCAAUUUCCCUGCUAUGCCACCUCUACAAGCUGUUUGAACGCUUGACUCAACAGACUUGCCCCUGUUGCUGAACCAGCCAUCAUCCCUCAACAAGCAGGAUUCCGACCUGGCAAAUCUACAACAAGCCAACUUCUGAAGCUAACUCAACACAUUGAGGAUGGAUUCCAGAAAGGACUGAACAACACUCGAACACAACGACCGGCGAGGAAAUAAAUCAUCAGCAAAAUCAACAUGUUGUCCAAUUUUCCUCCGUUUCACAAGGGAUUUUCAAAAUAAAGUUCCGUCUUCAGAGGGAUAAGAUAAGAUAAGAUAAGAUAAGAUAUUCCUUUAUUAGUCCCUCAGUGGGGAAAUUACAGGAUCACAGUAGUAUAGCUCACUGAUAAAACGAAUAAUAAAAUAGAAACAAGUAAUAUAAUAAGCAUUAAAAAAGAAAACAUCAGUAGAAUAUAAUAAGCAUUAAAAACAGUAGAAUAUAUGUACAGACUGAAUAAAAAGUAUAUAUAUAAACAAAGUAUAUAAACAAAAAGUACUUCAGCAUAUUGCACAUGUUGUUGCACCAGGUAGUGGUAGAGUGAUAAAGUGAUAAACUGCUGAGUGACCAAGUUCAGUUUGGUUGUGAAGUGGCCUACCGGGAGCUCAGCCGGUUGUGUAGCCUA